rnacentral:rRNA from 1 species
GACGAACGCUGGCGGCGUGUUUAACACAUGCAAGUCGAGGGGCAGCAGGGAUUUAGCUUGCUAAAUUCGCUGGCGACCGGCGCACGGGUGCGUGACGCGUAUCCAACUUUCCCGUUACUCUCGGAUAGCCUUCCGAAAGGGAGAUUAAUACGAGAUGGUGUUUUAAUUCCGCAUGUUAUUAAAACUAAAGAUUUAUCGGUAACGGAUAGGGAUGCGUGACAUUAGAUAGUUGGCGGGGUAACGGCCCACCAAGUCUACGAUGUCUAGGGGUUCUGAGAGGAAGGUCCCCCACACUGGAACUGAGACACGGUCCAGACUCCUACGGGAGGCAGCAGUGAGGAAUAUUGGUCAAUGGCCGAGAGGCUGAACCAGCCAAGUAGCGUGAAGGAUGAGGGUUCUAUGGAUUGUAAACUUCUUUUAUACGGGAAUAACAUCACCUACGUGUAGGUGCCUGCAUGUACCGUAUGAAUAAGCAUCGGCUAACUCCGUGCCAGCCGCCGCCGUAAAAC